rnacentral:rRNA from 1 species
AACGAACGCUGGCGGCGUGCCUAACACAUGCAAGUCGAACGUGAUUGGAAGCUUGCUUCCAUGAAAGUGGCGCACGGGUGAGUAACGCGUAGAUAAUCUACCUGAUGAUCCGGGAUAACACUUCGAAAGGGGUGCUAAUACCAGAUAAGCCCACGGAGUCCUUGGACUCUGCGGGAAAAGGGGGGGAUCGCAAGACCUUCCGUCAUCAGAUGAGUCUGCGUACCAUUAGCUAGUUGGUAGGGUAAAGGCCUACCAAGGCGACGAUGGUUAGCUGGUCUGAGAGGAUGAUCAGCCACACUGGAACUGAGACACGGUCCAGACUCCUACGGGAGGCAGCAGUGGGGAAUUUUGCGCAAUGGGGGAAACCCUGACGCAGCAACGCCGCGUGAGUGAUGAAGGCCCUUGGGUCGUAAAGCUCUGACAGAGGGAAAGAAAUGCAGAGUGGCUAAUAUCCACCUUGCUUGACGGUACCCUCAAAGGAAGCACCGGCUAACUCCGUGCCAGCAGCCGCCGUAAAAC